ACUCGCACCACACGGCAGAGUGGCUCUGAUACCAAAUUGUCACAUCCCGGGAUCGACUCCGCCGUAGCACGAUAUUGUCCGUUUUGGGCCCCCAUCCGCACGGUUUUGUUUCUGGGAGCUCACGAGCAACUUCCCAGUGGGUCACCCAUCCUGGGAUUGCUCUAGCCCCCAACUCGCUUAACUUCGAAGUUCCUACGACUCCGAAGCCAGUGAGCUCCCAAAAGGCCUCGUGCUAGAUGGAUGCGGGUGUGCAUAUAUAAGGCACAUCACCCCCUCUCCGUUGGUUGAUGUG
rnacentral:lncRNA from 1 species